CCUACGGGGUGCAGCAGUGGGGAAUAUUGGACAUUGGGCGAAAGCCUGAUCCAGCCAUGCCGCGUGUGUGAAGAAGGCCUUCGGGUUGUAAAGCACUUUCAUUGGGGAAGAAAGCCUUGGGGCUAAUACCCUCGAGGAAGGACAUCACCCACAGAAGAAGCACCGGCUAACUCCGUGCCAGCAGCCGCGGUAAUACGGAGGGUGCGAGCGUUAAUCGGAAUUACUGGGCGUAAAGCGCGCGUAGGCGGUCUGAUAAGCCGGUUGUGAAAGCCCCGGGCUCAACCUGGGAACGGCAUCCGGAACUGUCAGGCUAGAGUGCAGGAGAGGAAGGUAGAAUUCCCGGUGUAGCGGUGAAAUGCGUAGAGAUCGGGAGGAAUACCAGUGGCGAAGGCGGCCUUCUGGACUGACACUGACGCUGAGGUGCGAAAGCGUGGGUAGCAAACAGGAUUAGAUACCCCAGUAGUC
rnacentral:rRNA from 1 species